rnacentral:snRNA from 1 species
AGCUUUGCACAGUGGCAAUAUUGUAGCCAAUGAGGUUUAACCGAGGAGCGAUUAUUGCUAAUUGAAAAAAAUAAAAAUAAAA